rnacentral:rRNA from 1 species
UUCGACCUCAAAUCAGGUAGGACUACCCGCUGAACUUAAGCAUAUCAAUAAGGCGGAGGAAGAA